GAUGAACGCUGGCGGCGUGCCUAACACAUGCAAGUCGAGCGAGAAACCAUCGAUUGAAACUUCGGUAGAUAUUGAAGGCGGAAAGCGGCGGACGGGUGAGUAACGCGUAGGCAACCUGCCCUUUGCAGAGGGAUAGCAACGGGAAACUGUUAUUAAAACCUCAUAAUACCGACAUGUCAAAUGACAAGACGGUCAAAGAUUUAUCGGCAAAGGAUGGGCCUGCGUCUGAUUAGUUAGUUGGUAGGGUAACGGCCUACCAAGGCAGCGAUCAGUAGCCGACCUGAGAGGGUGAUCGGCCACAUUGGAACUGAGACACGGUCCAAACUCCUACGGGAGGCAGCAGUGGGGAAUAUUGCACAAUGGGCGAAAGCCUGAUGCAGCAACGCCGCGUGAAGGAUGAAGGCCUUUGGGUCGUAAACUUCUGUCCUUGGGGAAGAAAAAAAUGACGGUACCCCUGGAGGAAGUCCCGGCUAACUACGUGCCAGCAGCCGCGGUAAUACGUAGGGGGCGAGCGUUAUCCGGAAUUAUUGGGCGUAAAGAGUACGUAGGUGGUUUUUUAAGCGCAGGGUUUAAGGCGAUGGCUCAACUGUCGUUCGCCCUGUGAACUGGAAGACUUGAGUACAGGAGAGGAAAGCGGAAUUCCUAGUGUAGCGGUGAAAUGCAUAGAUAUUAGGAGGAACACCAGUGGCGAAGGCGGCUUUCUGGACUGUAACUGACACUGAGGUACGAAAGCGUGGGGAGCAAACAGGAUUAGAUACCCUGGUAGUCCACGCUGUAAACGAUGAGCACUAGGUGUCGGGGUCGCAAGAUCUCGGUGCCGGAGUUAACGCAUUAAGUGCUCCGCCUGGGGAGUACGCACGCAAGUGUGAAACUCAAAGGAAUUGACGGGGACCCGCACAAGCAGCGGAGCAUGUGGUUUAAUUCGAAGCAACGCGAAGAACCUUACCAGAACUUGACAUCCUCCUGACAGGCCUUUAAUCGGGCCCUUCUUCGGACAGGAGAGACAGGUGGUGCAUGGUUGUCGUCAGCUCGUGUCGUGAGAUGUUGGGUUAAGUCCCGCAACGAGCGCAACCCUUGUCAUUAGUUGCUAACAUUAAGUUGAGGACUCUAAUGAGACUGCCGGGGACAACUCGGAGGAAGGUGGGGAUGACGUCAAAUCAUCAUGCCCCUUAUGUUCUGGGCUACACACGUGCUACAAUGGCCGGUACAACGAGAAGCGAAGUCGCAAGGCGGAGCAAACCUCAAAAACCGGUCCCAGUUCGGAUUGCAGGCUGAAACCCGCCUGCAUGAAGCCGGAGUUGCUAGUAAUCGCGAAUCAGAAUGUCGCGGUGAAUGCGUUCCCGGGUCUUGUACACACCGCCCGUCACACCAUGGAAGUUGGGGGCGCCCGAAGUUGGUCAGAUAAUAGAUUACCUAAGGCGAAAUCAAUGACUGGGGUG
rnacentral:rRNA from 1 species